rnacentral:rRNA from 1 species
ACAUGCAAGUCGAACGAACUCUGGUAUUGAUUGGUGCUUGCAUCAUGAUUUACAUUUGAGUGAGUGGCGAACUGGUGAGUAACACGUGGGAAACCUGCCCAGAAGCGGGGGAUAACACCUGGAAACAGAUGCUAAUACCGCAUAACAACUUGGACCGCAUGGUCCGAGCUUGAAAGAUGGCUUCGGCUAUCACUUUUGGAUGGUCCCGCGGCGUAUUAGCUAGAUGGUGGGGUAACGGCUCACCAUGGCAAUGAUACGUAGCCGACCUGAGAGGGUAAUCGGCCACAUUGGGACUGAGACACGGCCCAAACUCCUACGGGAGGCAGCAGUAGGGAAUCUUCCACAAUGGACGAAAGUCUGAUGGAGCAACGCCGCGUGAGUGAAGAAGGGUUUCGGCUCGUAAAACUCUGUUGUUAAAGAAGAACAUAUCUGAGAGUAACUGUUCAGGUAUUGACGGUAUUUAACCAGAAAGCCACGGCUAACUACGUGCCAGCAGCCGCGGUAAUACGUAGGUGGCAAGCGUUGUCCGGAUUUAUUGGGCGUAAAGCGAGCGCAGGCGGUUUUUUAAGUCUGAUGUGAAAGCCUUCGGCUCAACCGAAGAAGUGCAUCGGAAACUGGGAAACUUGAGUGCAGAAGAGGACAGUGGAACUCCAUGUGUAGCGGUGAAAUGCGUAGAUAUAUGGAAGAACACCAGUGGCGAAGGCGGCUGUCUGGUCUGUAACUGACGCUGAGGCUCGAAAGUAUGGGUAGCAAACAGGAUUAGAUACCCUGGUAGUCCAUACCGUAAACGAUGAAUGCUAAGUGUUGGAGGGUUUCCGCCCUUCAGUGCUGCAGCUAACGCAUUAAGCAUUCCGCCUGGGGAGUACGGCCGCAAGGCUGAAACUCAAAGGAAUUGACGGGGGCCCGCACAAGCGGUGGAGCAUGUGGUUUAAUUCGAAGCUACGCGAAGAACCUUACCAGGUCUUGACAUACUAUGCAAAUCUAAGAGAUUAGACGUUCCCUUCGGGGACAUGGAUACAGGUGGUGCAUGGUUGUCGUCAGCUCGUGUCGUGAGAUGUUGGGUUAAGUCCCGCAACGAGCGCAACCCUUAUUAUCAGUUGCCAGCAUUAAGUUGGGCACUCUGGUGAGACUGCCGGUGACAAACCGGAGGAAGGUGGGGAUGACGUCAAAUCAUCAUGCCCCUUAUGACCUGGGCUACACACGUGCUACAAUGGAUGGUACAACGAGUUGCGAACUCGCGAGAGUAAGCUAAUCUCUUAAAGCCAUUCUCAGUUCGGAUUGUAGGCUGCAACUCGCCUACAUGAAGUCGGAAUCGCUAGUAAUCGCGGAUCAGCAUGCCGCGGUGAAUACGUUCCCGGGCCUUGUACACACCGCCCGUCACACCAUGAGAGUUUGUAACACCCAAAGUCGGUUGGGGUAACCUUUUAGGAACCAGCCGCCU